rnacentral:rRNA from 1 species
AAGACCUUGCGCUUUUGGAGCGGCCGAUGCCUGAUUAGCUAGUUGGUGGGGUAAUGGCCUACCAAAGCUUCGAUCAGUAGCUGGUCUGAGAGGACGGCCAGCCACACUGGGACUGAGACACGGCCCAGACUCCUACGGGAGGCAGCAGUGGGGAAUUUUGGACAAUGGGCGCAAGCCUGAUCCAGCCAUGCCGCGUGAGUGAAGAAGGCCUUCGGGUUGUAAAGCUCUUUCAGCCGGGAAGAAAAGGUUGCGAUUAAUAAUCGCAAUUUAUGACGGUACCGGAAGAAGAAGCACCGGCUAACUACGUGCCAGCAGCCGCGGUAAUACGUAGGGUGCGAGCGUUAAUCGGAAUUACUGGGCGUAAAGGGUGCGCAGGCGGUUUCGUAAGUCAGAUGUGAAAUCCCCGGGCUUAACCUGGGAACU